GCGACAACGCCAUCUUUUCUUCGAGCGACCGAGACGAAGCCUCAGAAGACCUUCAAGGAUCCAGUUGACCUCUGAAUCAGCUGUUAAGAAAAUGGGACAGUUGAUUCCACCAUCAUUACAAGGCUGCAAGGGAUCUGGAAAAAUGUCAUCCUGUCAAGCUGAAAAACAUCUUCAAAAAGGCACUAACAAGAACAGCUUGAUUGCAGAGAAGAGACCACACAGCCAUACACGCUCACUGAUGGGACGAUGAGGAACAUCAUUCAUGGAUGCUACACAACUCAAAUCUACACGUCAUAUUUGUUCAUGUCUAGGUAAAUUUGAUGAUUUUGUGUUUUAUUAACUACUUUGUUUCUGUGCAACACUUAAUGAAUGUGACUGACUAAUUAACCUCUACACAUCUGGUAUAUGCUUUAAAGUUGCCACUUUGCCCAUUUGUUCAAUAAAUGUUGAAAUGUA
ensembl:lncRNA